AGCAUCAGUUCAGCACUCACUGUUUAAAGAGUUAUAUUAAUUAUAAUUCAAUCCAAUUUACAAAAUGGCCGCCAGCAAAAUCACCAUCUUCUGCUUUGUGGCAAUCAUCGCUGUUUUGGCUAAUGUGGCAUCAGCCCAAGAUGUUAUCAAUACUGAUUGUUUGAUCGACUUGUCUAAUAUGGGAUUCGGACCGGAGUUCCAGGCUGUUGUGAACGCCAUUGUUCGUUUUCUGCAACAAAUCCUUUCUGGACUGGGGCUUGAUAAUCUUGUUUGUUAAUAAGCACUGAAUAUUAACAAAAUGUUCUAUAAAUACGCAAUUACACAAUUGAAUGUAAUAAAUAUAUUAAUAUAUUAACAAUACAA